UACGUAGGGGGCGAGCGUUGUCCGAAUUUACUGGGCGUAAAGAGCGCGUAGGCGGGUUCUUAAGUGAGAGGUGAAAGGUUCAGGGCUCAACCCGAACAGUGCCUUUCAUACUGGGAGCCUUGAGUGUGGGAGAGGCGAGUGGAAUUUCUGGUGUAGCGGUGAAAUGCGUAGAUAUCAGGAGGAACACCGGUGGCGAAGGCGGGUCUCUGGGCAGUAACUGACGCUGAGGAGCGAAAGCGUGGGGAGCGAACAGG
rnacentral:rRNA from 1 species